AUUUCCAAGGUUUUGAAACACCUGUCUAGAGAGUGAAAAUGAAUGCAUCCAUCCAGGUGUUUGGCCUCCAUGUUGAGAGAUAUCAAACACUCUUGGAGCCAUCUGGGUCAGAGGAAGAAUCAUUCUUGAUGGGCUUCAGAGCAGUGUUCCUGGUUUCCCCUGCCCCACCAGCCUCACAGCUGGAACUAUGAAACAGCCAGACAGCCCACGGAUCAAGUUGCAGCAACACCACAUCAAGGCUUCAACUUAAAAAGUUUCUUUUCACUAGUAGUAUUGAAGGCACUGUAGAAAUGACUACAACAUGAAAGCUUCCUUUCAAAAGGGGAUUUGGAAACUCACUGGGUGAAUGUGACUGGUCUCUCUUCUUUGCUGAAGGAUUUAUGGCACAACCUUGUUCGUAUCCCUCAUGUUCCCAGUUUGAGUCUCAAUACCAGCCCCACCAUAGGACAGGAAAAAGGCUGUUUACCAUUCUACAGCUGAGAAGACUGAAGCCUGAGCAAGUACAUUGGCCCAGUGUCCUGAAAGGAAGAAGCUGUAGAGUUGGAAUGUAAAGUCAGGUGUUUGGACUCUCAGUCAAGAGCCAUUUUUUUUUUUUUGACAAUGGAAAUAUGAGACCUGCAGAUUAUCAUAGAUGGAGACCUAGAAAAGCCACGCCAUGUCCACGGGUGGCACGGAUAGGUGUUUUCUUUCAAUGGUACCCCAGAGGGAACUCAGGUUUGAGAAAACUAGGAGUGGAUAGUGUUUCCAGUACAAGAUACUGCAUCAGCUUUUGGAAAUCUCUGAGACCAGCAGAUAGAGCUUCUCAUGUUUACUUCCAAAGACACAGGAACAGAACCUGUCUUCCUUUGAGAUCAGGAAUGGAUGUGCUGCUAGCAUUAAGCAAGAGUCUGGUUCCUGUCUGAUUCUUUUUAUGCUAAAGAAGAUGCCUCUUGCCACUACCCAGUACUAUGCAUAAUAGUGAGGAGGUUAGACUUUCUGAAAGAUGCAGUCCAUCUCAUCUUUUACUAACCUUUAAAAAGGUCCCUACCAAACAAAAAUGACAACCAUCAACACAAUCACCAGGCACUUUGCUUCUCUGAUGUUCACUUAAUAUGACUCAGAGCUAUUUCAUUUUGCACAAAAUAACCCUGACCUUGCAAAGUUGGAAGACUGAAUAAAAUGACAAACAUCUAUAAUGUGUAUAACA
rnacentral:lncRNA from 1 species